rnacentral:rRNA from 1 species
GACAGAGGCCUCGAGCGUUAGGCGGAAUCACUGGGCUUAAAGCGCGUGUAGGCGGUUUCGUAAGUCUGCUGUGAAAGUCGGAGGCUCAACCUUCGAAAGCCGGUGGAUACUGUGAGACUUGAGUACGGAAGAGGAGAGUGGAAUUCCUGGUGUAGCGGUGAAAUGCGCAGAUAUCAGGAGGAACACCAACGGCGAAGGCAGCUCUCUGGGACGUUACUGACGCUGAGACGCGAAAGCGUGGGGAGCAAACAGG